GGCCGAUUUUGUGAAUAGGAAAUCCUUUCACAGCAUUAAUGUUCAGAUGGUCUGCAAUGCUGACUGUGUGAUCAGCAAUGUUGUGGCAAAAUGGCCUGGCUCAGUCCAUGACUCCAGAAUCUUUCGGGCCUCUGAAAUCUAUCAGUGCCUAUCACAAGGUGAAUUCUCUGGUGUGCUGCUGGGAGACAGGGGUAUGGCUGCCAGCCUUUUCUCCUGACACCUUUCACAGACCCCCAGGAAGCACAGCAGGCCUACAACCAUGCCCAUGCCAGGACCAGGGCCAGAGUUGAAAUGACCUUUGGCCUCCUGAAGGCACGCUUUCACUGCCUUCACAAAUUAAGGGUCAGCCCUGUUAGGGCAUGUGAUAUUACUGUGGCUUGUGCUGUCCUCCACAAUGUGGCCUGCCUGAGGAAGGAGAGGGCCCCCAGAGUGCCACCAGCCAUGGACUGGGACAAUCCGGCAAUCUUCCCUGAUGACGAC
rnacentral:lncRNA from 1 species